rnacentral:rRNA from 1 species
GCUAGUAAUCGCGGAUCAGAAUGCCGCGGUGAAUACGUUCCCGGGUCUUGUACACACCGCCCGUCACACCAUGGGAGUCGGAAAUGCCCGAAGUCUGUGACCUAACCGUAAGGAAGGGAGCAGCCGAAGGCAGGUCGGAUGACUGGGGUGAAGUCGUAACAAGGUAGC